rfam:Schistosoma haematobium scaffold407_9, whole genome shotgun sequence.
GUCCGUCUGACGAGUUCCAACUAGAACGAAACGUGCGUCGUGGAU